rnacentral:rRNA from 1 species
CAGCUCUCCGAGUAGUGUGGACGUUUAUUGGGCCUAAAGCAUCCGCAGCUUGCUAGAUAAGUCCUCUGUUAAAUCCACCGAUUCAAUCGUUGGAUUGCGGGGGAUACUGUUUGGCUAGGGGACGGGAGAGGUCGACGGUAUUUCCGGGGUAGGGGUGAAAUCCUAUAAUCCCGGGAGGACCACCAGUGGCGAAGGCUGUCGACUAGAACGCGCCCGACGGUGAGGGAUGAAAGCUGGGGGAGCGAACCGGAUUAGAUACCCGAGUAGUCC